ACGAACGCUGGCGGCGUGCCUAAUACAUGCAAGUUGAGCGAUGAAGAUUGGUGCUUGCACCAAUUUGAAGAGCAGCGAACGGGUGAGUAACGCGUGGGGAAUCUGCCUUUGAGCGGGGGGCAACAUUUGGAAACGAACGCUAAUACCGCAUAACAACUUUAAACAUAAGUUUUAAGUUUGAAAGAUGCAAUUGCAUCACUCAAAGAUGAUCCCGCGUUGUAUUAGCUAGUUGGUGAGGUAAAGGCUCACCAAGGCGAUGAUACAUAGCCGACCUGAGAGGGUGAUCGGCCACAUUGGGACUGAGACACGGCCCAAACUCCUACGGGAGGCAGCAGUAGGGAAUCUUCGGCAAUGGACGAAAGUCUGACCGAGCAACGCCGCGUGAGUGAAGAAGGUUUUCGGAUCGUAAAACUCUGUUGGUAGAGAAGAACGUUGGUGAGAGUGGAAAGCUCAUCAAGUGACGGUAACUACCCAGAAAGGGACGGCUAACUACGUG
rnacentral:rRNA from 1 species